GACGAACGCUGGCGGCGUGCUUAUCACAUGCAAGUCGUACGGAAAGGCCCUGCUUUUGUGGGGUGCUCGAGUGGCGAACGGGUGAGUAACACGUGAGUAACCUGCCCUUGACUUUGGGAUAACUUCAGGAAACUGGGGCUAAUACCGGAUAGGAGCUCCUGCUGCAUGGUGGGGGUUGGAAAGUUUCGGCGGUUGGGGAUGGACUCGCGGCUUAUCAGCUUGUUGGUGGGGUAGUGGCUUACCAAGGCUUUGACGGGUAGCCGGCCUGAGAGGGUGACCGGCCACAUUGGGACUGAGAUACGGCCCAGACUCCUACGGGAGGCAGCAGUGGGGAAUAUUGCACAAUGGGCGGAAGCCUGAUGCAGCAACGCCGAGUGCGGGAUGACGGCCUUCGGGUUGUAAACCGCUUUCGCCUGUGACGAAGCGUGAGUGACGGUAAUGGGUAAAGAAGCACCGGCUAACUACGUG
rnacentral:rRNA from 1 species